GAAAAUAUACACUGUAGCACUUCAGUAAACGACGUUACGGCCGGACCCAUACAAACGGAGUGCUGUGUUUCCGCGAUAAAAAGGACGUUUUUUUGACACUUUUUCAAAAUGUCUACCAGUUCAGAUUCUUCAGUAAAUUAUGAGGAUAAAUUUCCCCAUCCCUUUUCUGCUGAUGACAAGGAAUACGAGGAAUACCUCCAGCGUCCGAUAGACCCUCCCCCUAUUGCUGAAGAGUGGAGAGGCAGAGGAGGUGGCCACCAGAGGGGCAGAGAUCACCGGUCACAUGCCUACAGGCCAUACAGAGGGAGAGACAGUGGGAGGAACUGGUCAAACGAUAACCGAUACAACCAGCAGUGGCAGGACAGGGGUUGGGGUCACAGUCGCCAACAAUAUCAGCAACAAGGACAGUCUAGUUCUUAUGGACACCAAGGAUAUAAUUCAUACAAUCAAAGACCUUCCAGCAACCGUUAUUAAAGACGCUUUCCACCUGCCACAUUACAUGCUGUCACACAUCCCAGAUAGUCAUUCUUCCUUUAUGUUAAGUGAAAAUGGUUGCAAGGAGAUUCUUUUUUACUAUCUGUGCUUAAUGCAGAGAUUUAGAUUAUUUUUGACUGAAGGCUAUGUUUUAACCUUUUAAGUUUUUGCAGAAUUGUUACAGUAGGGAUACACUUGGCUCCAUAGAGGAGCUGUAGUGGGAGGAAAAGGUUGCCUGACUAGAUGUUUUGCUGAAAGGGUGGAGUGGGGAGGGAUCAGGUCAAAAGCCCUUUGUUCAGUUACUGGUUUUCCUUGUUGUUUUUUUUUUUUUUUUUUUUUUUAAGGUCAGGUUUUUCCUUACUAAGCCUUUGGUUCAAAUUCUGAGACCUUAAUUAUUUUGCUCUGCAACAACAAAGUAAAUCUCUUCUUUUUUACUUCCUAGCGAAAAGUAUGAUUUGCAUAAUUGUAAGGCUUAUUUUUUUAAAUUUUUAAAUUUUUAAUUUUUCCUCCCUAUAGAUUGAUAUCCAUAAGUAAUGAAUUUUGGACUAUUUUCCAAGCGUUUUUCCUCCAUUCUUUUAAAGAGAGAAAAAAAAAUCAAGUUAGGGUUGCAAAAAAGGGAACACGAAGCCUAUUACUUGAUUGUUUUGGGUUUAGUUUUGUAAAAUUAACAGGUGUUUUACAUUUUAAUUUAUUAAAUGGUUCGAAAA